UACGGGGGGGGCAAGCGUUGUUCGGAAUUACUGGGCGUAAAGCGCGUGUAGGCGGCUGCGCAAGUCGGAUGUGAAAUCCCAUGGCUCAACCAUGGAAGUGCACCCGAAACUGCGUGGCUUGAGUCUCGGAGAGGAAGGUGGAAUGCUUGGUGUAGAGGUGAAAUUCGUAGAUAUCAAGCGGAACACCGGUGGCGAAGGCGGCCUUCUGGACGAUGACUGACGCUGAGACGCGAAAGCGUGGGGAGCAAACAGG
rnacentral:rRNA from 1 species